rnacentral:rRNA from 1 species
CCUACGGGUGGCAGCAGUGGGGAAUAUUGGACAAUGGGCGAAAGCCUGAUCCAGCCAUGCCGCGUGUGUGAAGAAGGCCUUCGGGUUGUAAAGCACUUUCAGUGGGGAAGAAAGCCUUGGGGCUAAUACCCUCGAGGAAGGACAUCACCCACAGAAGAAGCACCGGCUAACUCCGUGCCAGCAGCCGCGGUAAUACGGAGGGUGCGAGCGUUAAUCGGAAUUACUGGGCGUAAAGCGCGCGUAGGCGGUCUGAUAAGCCGGUUGUGAAAGCCCCGGGCUCAACCUGGGAACGGCAUCCGGGGGUAUCAGGGGAGUGUGGAGGAGAGGAAGGAAUGAGUCCGGGGGUAGCCGUGAAAUGCGUGGAGAUCGGGGGGAAGGGUAGUGGCGAGGGCGGACUUAUGGACUGACACUGACUCUGACGUGUGAUUUCGUAGAUAGCCAACCGGAUUACGGACCCCUGUAGU